GGGCAGCCCGCGCAGGGCUCGCCGUGUGCCGGGAGGGGAACACGCACGGACCCCACGGGCGGCACGUAGCUCGGCGCUGGGGCACACGCUGAGUCGCGCUGGCAGCGCCGUGCUGAGCAGUGCCGCGCCGUGCGCGGAGGCCGGGGUUGUGCAAAGCCGCAGCGCCUCCUGUUGUCCGGCCGCGGCUUCCUGCUCCUAACGUUGCCCCCGAAGGUGAGACUCGGGCAGGCGGUCUGUUAUCUUCCUAGAAGAGAGCGUUUCAGCUCGUUGCACAGAUGGAUCAGCGCGCCUCAGGCGCUGUCAGCCGCUCCUGGAAAUCCCCCCCCCAGCCCCGGCGGCCGGAAACCUCCCGUGUGCGGAGCGGAGGAGCGCGGCGCCCCCGAGAGGAGGGGAGAGCAGGGCUCUGCGGGGAUGGAGGACACAGGGAGAAAGACUUCUGCCAUUCCAGCCGUUAGAACGGGCCGGCAUCGCGCGGAGACUCCGCACGAAGUGGGAGCCCCGGCCCCACGCGUGGGAGAGGAGAUGGAAUAGGCGAGAGGGUUCGGUCUGACUUCAAGGGGCGGAUGGGGAAGAGCUACUUCAAUCCGCUCCUGCUGGACGGGAACCUCUCGGCAGCGUCCGUGCGGGGCAGGUCUCAACCUCGGGAAGGAGCUGCGGGGCUGCAUCAGAACGCCUUCCCUGUUCUUCGCUGGCCGGCCGCCUUUCCAUUUCCCCGGCUCUGCCUCCUGCCCACCCAUCCCUCCCGGCGGUAGGAAACUCCCGUUCCACUCGUUUCCGACCCGGAAUUCCCCCCAUAGAAGAGUGAACGCAGGAGUCGCGUGGAAGCAGCGCAGGCAUGGUUCGGCACACAGGUAGCAACUUGAUACAUUCCUGACAUAGAAAAUAAUACGUUGCCUACACCCGAAAACCCUCACGUAUCACAGCCCAAUUAAAGGAGAAAGAAACACAAAUAACGAAAUGAAAAGCUACAUAUAACCUACUGUCCGACGGCCACAGAAAUCAGAGAAAGAAGCCCCUGGGUCCGGCUGUGGGCUUGCAGAAUUUGAGCUAGCGGGAUGCCCACCCUGUUGUGUAUGGUUGGCAAAGUCUGUUUUACUCUUCAUAAAAAUAAAUGCAUUUCACGCUUCUCACUUGAAUCAAGAACAGCCAUAUUGUAUGCAUUUCAAUUAGUGGGUGUAUUAUUUAUGUUACACUUCUUGAAACACGAGUGGCAAUGCUUCUGGUGUUUACUUCAAUCAGUGUGCCAAUUCUGAGGCAGUCACUGUCCCUUUUUGAUAGUUUUCUUUGCACUUUUUCUUUAACAACUGUGUUUUGUUUCGAAGUAACAGCAGUAAUACAGCACAGAAGAAACAGUAUCAGAGGAGAUGGGACUACACUGAGAUACACAAAUAUGCUUCAGUGGCACCCACUUCAUGGAGUCUCACCCAAACAGAAAAAUUAUUUUUUAAAACGUACACAGACUUCUGCAACACACAUAUAAGGAAUAAAGAAAUCAAAGUCUGUGCAGAUGAUCUACACAAACCAAUAUCAGAAACAAACCGUGGGAGGAGACACACUUUUGUAUAAAUCCUAGAGCUGAGGGAGUGACUUCAUGGGCCACCGUCUGUCCAUCUUUUCCUAUAUUAUCUGCUGAUGGAACACAAAGUAUUUUCACACCCCAUGAGUCUUCAAAAACUGCGAUGAGUUCUCUGGGAGAAUAUCCGUUUCCCUGAGGUAAGCCAAAUAUUGCUGUAGUGGCCAACUGAUGCAGAGCUGACCAGCUCCUUGGGAUAUUCAUGUCAACAGAAACACACCAGUUCUUCUGUGAACUGACCUUCCUAUGCAGAAGACUGGAUUAGCAACUUGGAUUUAGCACCACGUUUUUACAUUUCCCCCCCCCCAUUUUCCUUACCUAAAAGUAAAUGAAUAAAAUAAAAGAUUAUUUUCC
ensembl:lncRNA